CGUAACUGCAUAAAAGGAGAAGGCACGAAGAUUUUCUCAGUUCAUCCAAGAGAGAGAUAAUGGCAACACUUGGUGGCAAUCGUAAUGUCGCAGGAAGCCAGAACAGCGUUGAGAUCGAUAGUUUAGCUCGAUUUGCUGUUGGAGAACACAACAAAAAACAGAACGCCCUUCUGGAGUUUGGAAGGGUGGUAAGUUUACAACAGCAAGUGGUUUCUGGUACCUUGUACACCAUCACUUUGCAGGCAAAAGAUGGUGGGCAAAAGAAGGUUUAUGAAGCCAAAGUCUGGGAGAAGCCAUGGUUGAACUUCAAGGAGCUGCAAGAGUUCAAACUUGUUGGAGAUGCACCUGCAUAGUGUCCUUAGCUGGCUGCUAUGUAACAUGACAAUAAGUUGUUGAUCAUCAAUGCUAGAAGAUUUGUGGGAAUUUCAUUUUUCUUUUUUGCUGAUGAAUCAGAGAUGAGGGUUACAGAAGAGCUAAGAAAGAAAUCUAGCGUUGUUCGAAGGUGAAAGCCUAAGGAUAAGAGCAUCCAAUCCUAUAUCCUAUAUGUAAAAAAUAAAUGUAGCUUUCUUACCUUCUUAUGGAUAUUUGAUGCCCUAAAUUAGCAUCCUAUUAUAUAAAGUUUAAAUGCUAGAAAUAUAUGAUUUGUGUGUGUAUUUUGUUAUUUUAACCUAAUAAUUUAACAAGAACUUAUUUUUAAA